rnacentral:tRNA from 1 species
AAGGGUAUAGCUCAGUGGUAAAGUGCACACUUAGCACAUAUGAGGUCCUGGGUUCAAUCCCCAGUACCUCUA